rnacentral:rRNA from 1 species
UACGUAGGGUGCGAGCGUUGUCCGGAAUUAUUGGGCGUAAAGAGCUCGUAGGCGGUGUGUCACGUCGGCCGUGAAAACCUGCAGCUUAACUGUGGGCGUGCGGUCGAUACGAGCAUCACUGGAGUUCGGCAGGGGAGACUGGAAUUCCUGGUGUAGCGGUGAAAUGCGCAGAUAUCAGGAGGAACACCGGUGGCGAAGGCGGGUCUCUGGGCCGAUACUGACGCUGAGGAGCGAAAGCGUGGGGAGCAAACAGG